CCGGUAAUAAAUCCAAAUUUACGUGAAUAUAGAUUCGUAAAUAUGCAUAUUCUAUAUUAAAAUGUAUGUAUUUGGGAUGUAUGAAUUUUCGUACGAAUUAUUUGUGCUGCGCGCGCAUCGUACUGCGCAGUAGCAAUUUGAGUGAAACAGAAAAUGAACGCAGCAUCGUAUGCACUGUUGUAUUUUAGAAUAAAAUUAACAAUUAAAAUAUCAUGUAUUUGUCGAAUGAAAAAGAAGAAUGCUUCGUAAAAAUGUGCAGAGAAAAUGAAGAGGGGAAUGAAAAUUCAAGACAAUUUCCAAAAGUGUGAUAUAGAGUUCCUUUCUUGGAAUUCGCGAAACAAUGAGAUUCUUUGAUACGUUCGAGAAGGCAUUUGAUUUUUGCAAAUAAAAUUUAGCAGACAUGGAAUUGAACAAUGGUCUUUCUUUGACUUAGCAACAUUCAAACAACUGUCUCACUCUGCUAAUUCAACUGCAUAUCUUCAAGCAGUUUGGUAAUGUGAGGUCCAUAUAAGUGUAUUAAGCAUCGUAUCAUUUUGAAGUACUUUCGCAAGACUAUAAAAAUAUAAUUGACGCUAUGAAAUGUAGAAAUAAUAUGCAAAUAUUUUUUGUCCGCUUGAUGUUGGACAAUUGGAAUCUGCCCUCCAAAUUCUGAAAUUUAAUUUGAAUGAACAUUAAUUUGGUGUACACCCUCAUUGUAGAUCUGCUCGACAUCUUCGGUGAAUGAAUCUAGGAAGGAAUGAAUGACUAACUAUUCUGCCUAAAGGUAUUAACAUGUCGUUAAUUCGUGGUUAUAAUGUAAUGUAUAUAGAUAUCGGGACUCAUUCGUAGAAAACUGGUUUGUGAAUAUUUAUCGAACACGUUUGACCACUAGAGACAUUAAUCUCUGAGAAUUUAAACUUGAUCAUUAUUAAAAGAAAUUCAUACUGGGUUGUUUAUAAGAACUCUCUUUUAGGUUAUCGUGUUAUUUAUUAUCACAUAAAUUAUUCGUAUAGAUACUUGGAAUUUGGAAUUGGAAUUUAUAGACUUAUCUUCUUUGAUCCUGAUUAUUGUUUAUCAUGCUUUAAAUUUCUCUGAAACGAUAUCAAUUUUAUUAAAGAAAU